GGGGGCUAAUACCGAAUAUGACCUUUCCUCGCAUGAGGUUUGGUGGAAAGUUUUUCGGCCUGGGAUGGGCUCGCGGCCUAUCAGCUUGUUGGUGGGGUGAUGGCCUACCAAGGCGACGACGGGUAGCCGGCCUGAGAGGGCGACCGGCCACACUGGGACUGAGACACGGCCCAGACUCCUACGGGAGGCAGCAGUGGGGAAUAUUGCACAAUGGGCGGAAGCCUGAUGCAGCGACGCCGCGUGAGGGAUGACGGCCUUCGGGUUGUAAACCUCUUUCAGCAGGGACGAAGCGGAAGUGACGGUACCUGCAGAAGAAGCGCCGGCCAACUACGUGCCAGCAGCCGCGGUAAGACGUAGGGCGCGAGCGUUGUCCGGAUUUAUUGGGCGUAAAGAGCUCGUAGGCGGCUUGUCGCGUCGACCGUGAAAACUUGGGGCUCAACCCCAAGCCUGCGGUCGAUACGGGCAGGCUAGAGUUCGGUAGGGGAGACUGGAAUUCCUGGUGUAGCGGUGAAAUGCGCAGAUAUCAGGAGGAACACCGGUGGC
rnacentral:rRNA from 1 species